GAUGAAUGCUAGCGGCAGGCCUAAUACAUGCAAGUCGAGCGGCAAGUUGAGAAGCAAUUCGAGACCUAGAGCGGCGUACGGGUGCGUAACGCGUAUGCAACCUACCUCAUACAGGGGGAUAGCCCGGAGAAAUCUGGAUUAAUACCCCAUAGUACAUAUAGAGGGCAUCUGAAAUAUGUUAAAGAUUCAUCGGUAUGAGAUGGGCAUGCGUCUGAUUAGCUAGUUGGCGGUGUAACGGACCACCAAGGCGACGAUCAGUAGGGGUUCUGAGAGGAAGGUCCCCGACACUGGCACUGGGAUACGGGCCAGACUCCUACGGGAGGCAGCAGUAGGGAAUAUUGGGCAAUGGUCGGAAGACUGACCCAGCCAUGCCGCGUGCAGGAAGAAGGCCCUCUGGGUUGUAAACUGCUUUUAUCUGGGAAGAAAAGGCCCGUGCGCGGGACAUUGCCGGUACCAGAUGAAUAAGCACCGGCUAACUCCGUGCCAGCCGCCGCCGUAACAC
rnacentral:rRNA from 1 species